AGAGUUUGAUCCUGGCUCAGGAUGAACGCUAGCUACAGGCUUAACACAUGCAAGUCGAGGGGAAACGAUAUUGGAAGCUUGCUUCCGAUAGGCGUCGACCGGCGCACGGGUGAGUAACGCGUAUCCAACCUGCCCACCACUUGGGGAUAACCUUGCGAAAGUAAGACUAAUACCCAAUGACGUCUCUAGAAGACAUCUGAAAGAGAUUAAAGAUUUAUACGGUGAUGGAUGGGGAUGCGUCUGAUUAGCUUGUUGGCGGGGUAACGGCCACCAAGGCUACGAUCGAGUAGGGGUUCUGAGAGGAAGGUCCCCCANAUUGGAACUGAGACACGGUCCAAACUCCGUACGGGAGGCA
rnacentral:rRNA from 1 species